AGUGAACGCUGGCGGUAGGCCUAACACGUGCAAGUCGAACGGCAGCACAGUAAGAGCUUGCUCUUACGGGUGGCGAGUGGCGGACGGGUGAGGAAUACAUCGGAAUCUACUUUUUCGGGGGGGGUAACGUAGGGAAACUUACGCUAAUACCGCAUACGACCUACGGGUGAAAGCAGGGGAUCUUCGGACCUUUCGCGAUUGAAUGAGCCGAUGUCGGAUUAGCUAGUUGGCGGGGUAAAGGCCCACCAAGGCGACGAUCCGUAGCUGGUCUGAGAGGAUGAUCAGCCACACUGGAACUGAGACACGGUCCAGACUCCUACGGGAGGCAGCAGUGGGGAAUAUUGGACAAUGGGCGCAAGCCUGAUCCAGCCAUACCGCGUGGGUGAAGAAGGCCUUCGGGUUGUAAAGCCCUUUUGUUGGGAAAGAAAAGCAGCAGGUUAAUACCCCGCUGUUCUGACGGUACCCAAAGAAUAAGCACCGGCUAACUUCGUG
rnacentral:rRNA from 1 species